UACGUAGGGUGCGAGCGUUGUCCGGAUUUAUUGGGCGUAAAGAGCUUGUAGGUGGCUCGUUGCGUCGGGAGUGAAACCCGCGGCUCAACCGCGGGCCUGCGUUCCGAUACGGGCGAGCUAGAGUUCGGCAGGGGAGACUGGAAUUCCUGGUGUAGCGGUGGAAUGCGUAGAGAUGCGGAGGAACACCGAUGGCGAAGGCAGCCCCUGGGCCAACACUGACGCUGAGGAGCGAAAGCGUGGGAGCGAACAGG
rnacentral:rRNA from 1 species